GAUGCUUUCUUUUAUAGGAGAUCUCCCCAUUCUUCUCCUAACAACCAAGAUAGAGUUGGACCAUUCGAUUUUCAGUUUUUCUCGGAAUCUAUAAAAUCUCGACUUAGUGCCUUUUCAAUGAGAUAUAACGAAUCUAUCACAAAGAGUACAAGAGGAUGGAAGGAAAAACUUUUCGCUCAGAAUAAUUCAAUAGUGAGUCACGGCUCUGAAAGUAGGAAUGAGGUGGCUGCAGAUAUUGUCACUGUGUCACGCAUGAUGGAUCAUCUUGAAACUAGAGAGGCUAAUAGGACUAUGCCUUAUCCUAUAUCAAA